CAACCUCAACUCAUAUGGGACUACCCCCUGAAUUUAAGCAUAUUAAUUAGGGGAGGAAAAGAAACUAACAAGGAUUUUCUUAGUAGCGGCGAGCGAAAAGAAAUCAGUUCAGCACUAAGUCACUUUGUCUAUAUGGCAAAUGUGAGAUGCAGUGUAUGGAGCGUCAAUAUUCUAGUAUGAGAAAUUAACGAUUUAAGUCCUUCUUAAAUGAGGCCAUUUACCCAUAGAGGGUGCCAGGCCCGUAUAACGUUAAUGAUUACUAGAUGAUGUUUCCAAAGAGUCGUGUUGCUUGAUAGUGCAGCACUAAGUGGGUGGUAAACUCCAUCUAAAACUAAAUAUAACCAUGAGACCGAUAGUAAACAAGUACCGUGAGGGAAAGUUGAAAAGAACUCUGAAUAGAGAGUUAAAUAGUACGUGAAACUGCUUAGAGGUUAAGCCCGAUGAACCUGAAUAUCCGUUAUGGAAAAUUCAUCAUUAAAGUUAUAAUAUUUAAACAAUAUUAUACAAAUAAUGUGCAUUUUUUCCAUAUAAGGACAUUGUAAUCUAUUAACAUAUUAAAUUUAUCAUAAAAUAUGGCUUAUAGUUUAUUCAAAUUAUUAUGCUUGCAUUUUAACAUAGAAUAAAUGUCAUUAAUUUGAUAAAGUGUUGAUAGACUAAUAAGAAUACAGUGCGUUAAUUUUUCGGAAUUAUAUAAUGGCAUAAUUAUCAUUGAUUUUUGUGUUUAUUAUAAGCACUUGUAUGAUUAACAAUGCGAAAGAUUCAGGAUACCUUCGGGACCCGUAUUGAAACACGGACCAAGGAGUCUAACAUAUGUGCAAGUUAUUGGGAUAUAAACCUAAUAGCGUAAUUAACUUGACUAAUAAUGGGAUUAGUUUUUUAACUAUUUUAUAGCUAAUUAACACAAUCCCGGGGCGUUCUAUAUAGUUAUGUAUAAUAAUAUUUAUAUUAUUUAUGCCUCUAACUGGAACGUACCUUGAGCAGAUAUGCUGUGACCCGAAAGAUGGUGAACUAUACUUGAUCAGGUUGAAGUCAGGGGAAACCCUGAUGGAAGACCGAAACAGUUCUGACGUGCAAAUCGAUUGUCAGAAUUGAGUAUAGGGGCGAAAGACCAAUCGAACCAUCUAGUAGCUGGUUCCUUCCGAAGUUUCCUCAGGAUAGCUGGUGCAUUUUUAUGUUAUAUAAAAUAUCUUAUCUGGUAAAGCGAAUGAAUAGAGGCUUUAGGGUCGAACGAUCUUAACUAUUCUCAAACUUUAAUGGGUAGGACCUUUACUUUCUUGAAAGAGUUUAAGGUAUGAUAAUGGGCCCAAUUGGCCACUUUGGUAGCCAACUUGGGCUUGGGGAAGACCAAAAGAAAGGUACGGGGCCAAAUAACAAUCUCUCCAAACCCUGAAAGGGGUUGGUUGUUUAAAAAAC
rnacentral:ncRNA from 1 species